ensembl:lincRNA
ACUGAUAUUUUACACUUGGUUAUUACAAACUAUUGUCCAUAUAAUUCUUUAAUCUCUGUUUCCUUAGAUUUUCUGCUUGCUGAACCUCUCAAAUACUGAAGGGAAGUUUCCUGGCGGUCUCUCGUCAUAUGCUGUUUACUAAAGGAAUAGUUUCCAAUCUGCUGUAGGAAGUACUAUGCUAUCCAUUUGUUCCAGGACCUUAUCCUCUGCAGGUUUCAUGCGCAUCCGUGUGAAGAGACCUGUCAAUAGGUAAGCCAAAAUUAGUAUUUUUCUUAAUUUUAUCAACUAGAAAAAUACAGAUUAAAAACAACU